rnacentral:lncRNA from 1 species
AGCCCCAGGGACACAAAACACACACUCACGCCGAACUCCCCUAAACCCUCUGGUCCUUAGGAUACAAGCGUGCCCGUGUCUGUUUCAAAGGACGACCAACACCAGUACUAUGAACCUAACUUUUUAAAUGGGGGGCAGUCAGAAGGAAAAUUACUUGAGCCCUUGUCAAAAACCAUAGUUUUCGCUCUUCUCCAGCAAUGAUCAGAGGUCUUGCAAUAUCAGGAAUUACUCCAUUGAAAACACACCUAUUGCGAUGAGUCCAUAUAGUCUAUACCCCAAGAAUUAUGAGAGAAUUGAUUUCUUGUAUUAUUAUGUCA